CUAAACCCUAAACCCUAAACCCUAACCCUAAACCCUAAGCCUAAACCCUAAACCCUAAAGCCCUAAACUUAAACCCUAUCCUAAACUAAACCCUAAAACGCUUAAACCUAAACCUAAAACCCUAAACCCUAAACUAACCUAAACCCUAAACCCUAAACCCCUAACCCUCUAACCUAAACCUAAACCUAAUACUAAACCCUGAAACCCUAAACAUAAUACCCGUAAACGCCUACAACCCCUAAACCCUAAGACCCUAAACCCUAAACCCUAAUCCCUAAACCCUAAACCCUAAACCCUCUAAAAACCCUAAACCCUUAAACCCUAAACCCUAAGCCUAACCGUAAACCUAAACCCUAAACCCUAAACUAAAACCCUUAAAACCUAAACCCUACUAAACCCGUUAACCCUAUAUACCCUAAACCCUAAACCCUAAACCUAACCCUAAACCCUCAAACCACUAAACCCAGGGUAAACCUAAACACUAACCCUAAGACCCUAAACUUAAACCCUUAAAACCCCUAAACCUAAACCCUUAAACCCUAAACCUAAACCCUAUAACCCCUAAACCCUAAACCCUUAAAACCCUAAACUCCUAACCCUAAACCUAAAUCCCCUAAACCCUAAACCUAAAACCCUAAACCCUAAACACUAAACCUAAACCCUAAACCUAAACCUAAACCUAAACCCUAAACCCUACCCUAACCUAAACCCUAAACCUAAAGCCUAAACCCUAAACCUAACUCCUAUAACCCAAACCCUAACCUAACCUAAGACCUAAACCCUAAACCCUUAACCCUAAACCCUACCUAACCGCUAAACCCUAAGCCUAAACCUAACCGUAAACCCGUAAAAACCCCUAAACCUAAACCCUAACCGUAACCCGCUAACCUUACCUAACCCUAAACCUAACCCUAAACAUAAACCCUAAACCCAAAACCUAAACCCUAAACCCUAAACCCAUAAACCCCUAAACCUAACCCUGAACACCCUAACCCUAACCCUAAAACCCUAAACCCUAACUAAACCCCUAAACCCUAAACCCUAAACCCUAAAACUAACCCUAAACCUAAACCCUAACAAAACCCUAAACCCUAAACCCUAAACCCUAACCCUAAACCUAAACCCUCAACCGUCAACCCUAAACCUAAACGUUAACCCUAAACCCUAAACCCUUCAACCCAAACUCACCCUCAACCCUCAAACCUAAAACCCUCAACCUUACCCCCCUCAAUCUCCUAACCCUAAACCCUAACACCCUCAAUCAGUAAACCGUCAACCCUAAACCUAAACCCUCAGCCCUCACCCUCAACCCUAACCUAACCCUGGACACCUGAACCCUGGAACCCUGAACCUGACCCUGAACCCUGAAACCUGAAACUCCUUGAACCCUGAAACCAUGAACCCUGAACCCUGAUCCCUGAACCUGAACCCUCGAACCCUGAACCCUGAACCCUGAUGAACCUGAACCCUGAACCUGACCUGAACCCUUACCCUGACCCUAAACCCUGAACCUGUAACCCUUCGAGACUGAACCCUGAGCCACUGAACCCUAACCCUGAAACCCUAACCCUGACCCUGAAUCCUUGAACCUGAACCUGAACCUGAACCUGAACCCUGAAACCCUGAACCCUGAACCCGAAACCUAACACUGAACCCUGACACCUGAACCCUGAACCACUGAACCCUGACCCUGAACCCGACCGACCGCUGACUGACCGCUCCCUGAACCUGAACCCGAACCUAACCCUGAACCCUGAACCUGAACCCUGAACUCCUGAACCCUGACCUAACCUGAAUCCUGCCUGAACCCUGAACCCUGAAACCCUGAACCUGAACCUGAACCCGAACCACUCGAACCUGAACGCUGAAACCCUGAACCCUGAACCCUGAACCUGAGACCCUUGAACCCUGAACCCUGAAACCGCUGAACCUGAACCUGAACCCUGAUACCUGAACCUCGAACCUAGAACACGCUGAACCUUUGAACCUUGAAAACCCUAAAACCCUAAACCCUAAACCCCUAAAAACCCUAAAACCCUCAAACCCUAAAAACCCUGAAACCCCUCAAACCCUAAAAACCCUGAACCCUGAACCCUGAACCCUGAACCCUUAUUAGGAAUCUUUAAAAGAUAGCAUGAACCAAACGCACCCUUAGACCCAUAUAUUCCCAUGCAGAUUUUAGCCCUCACGGGAUUAAGAUAACCUUUGUACUAUCUGCUUAAAACUACUAAUUUUUAACCAUAUAAUAUUAGACGAAUAAUAUUAAUUUGAUUAGGAAAAAAAAUUACUAUAUAUUAUAUUUAAUGGCAUCGAUUAUCAAUGCAGAUACUUUGUCGCUGGAAUCGACACAUAAGAACUUUUCUGGUUACGUUUAGAAAAAUAUUCUAGUCUAACUAAUUAUACCAACUAAUGAGUUAUCACCUUUCAAAUAUCCACAACUAAUUUUUAGCUUUUACUACUGAAGUUUGCUUCAAUACAAAAACAUUCUGUUUAGUUUUAAACAAAAUCUAAACUUUAAACUUAUAUAGAUGGUAAGAUUUACAUCUCAACGAUAAGAUUUACAGGAAGAUAAAAGACCCUACUUUGAAGUAGACAAUUCAACUUUAUUGAUUUAUUAUUAAUAUUCUUCAACUUUCAUUCUUUUUAUUUUUCUUGCUUCUAUUAUUUUCAAAAAUAUUUUUUUGUGAAAUAUAAUUAGUUUUAAUCAAUUUUCUGUCAUAUAAUAGCAAAAUUUGUCAUCUAAGGCCGUCGCCGACCGGCCUUGUGACUUCCAGCGGUGUAAGUAGAAACCGGCCUGAGCUAUCCUCGGUCGGUUCACGAUCAGGCCGUCUACUGUGAAGUCCGAAACCAGUAGCGUCCUAGGCUUGGGUCUAAACAGAGGCCUGCAAUUAGUGGCAGAAUUAGUCCAGCCAUAGAAAGUAAGAAAACCACCUGAGUUCGGCCAUGAGGCCCAUAACGUUGAUUGUGAUGUGCUUCAAUAUUUAUGAUAAUCUCUAGGCCGAGAAAAGGCCUAUUACGUGCAAUUCUCGUACGAGGACUCACCAUUUUGGAAAUUUGGUCCAUAUCUGAUGAUGGAGUUUGGAAUGGCUUUUACAAAACGCCAACAGUCAAUAGAGGGUUAAUCACAAAUUUUGUUAUCUAUAUUAUAGCCUUUUAACUCACAAAAAAAGAUAAAAAUUUACAAACAAAAAAUGGUGAGUGUUCUCCACAUUUUUUAUUUUUGAUUAUGACAAAUAAAAAGGAUAAAUUAUGUGAUUGCUCUAAAGAAAAAGUGCAUUAACCAAAGAAUAAAUAACAAAGCAAAAAAAAAAAAGAGCAAGUUAUAGCAUAAUAUUAAGUUCGGCAAGUGAAACUUUCCAUUUCGGGGCAAUUAACGAGACUUACUAUUUCCGACUUUACCUAAAAUGGAAAGUCUUGCAAUUUAACCCAAACCAGAAAAUAGGCCAACCAGCAGUGGGCCUCAUCCGGCCCAAAAUAAAAUUCAGCCUAUUAAGCCUAAAUGUAUACUACUCUUAGCCCAGCUCGCUCCAUGCAGGGGCCGUCCCUACGCCAAUUUAGAUAUAUGCGUAUAUAUUACACUGUACUUUGUAUAUUAUUGUAUGUUGUAUAGUAUACUUUUUAUAUUAUAGUGCUUACACCCCCUCAACAUUGAUUUCUUUUUUCUUUUUGGUUUUUUGAUUGAGAUCCUUUUAUCUUUUGAAUUUUUUUUUUUUUAAGGCCUAGUGGUUAUGGUCAAACAAAAUUAAAUGUAUCAGAAUCUAAUAUUUAAAGAAGAAAAAAGAAGUGGAGAGGUGUCACUGAAAAGAAAAUUAAUUAAAUGGUUUAUUUAAUAAAUGGUCAAUACCUGAGGGGGGAUUCAUGCAUAUAUUUAGCGAGAAAAAAAAAGGGUUGUGUGCUAAAAUGGAUUAUUGGGCUGAGUUUGUUGUCAGGUUAUGGGCCAUCACACCACAUAGAUCGAAGGAAUACUCUGCAGCCAGAUUUAACUAAAUGGGCCCGCACGUUCAUCCCAGGUACAAAUGAGGACCCAAGUGCGCUUUCCCUUAAUGGGCUGGAUGAGGUCUAGCUCCGAAUCGCCUUAUUACGGUAAGUAAUGGCUCUUUCCGCUUUUGGUAAAAUGGCAGAGGCUUUACAUUUUAAGGCAAAGUCGGAAAUAGUAACUCUCGUUAAUGCCCCCAAAUGAAAAGUUUCACUUGCCUAACCUUAUAUCAAUAUCUACAAAAAGUGGCAUAUCUAAUCCCCAAAAUAAAAUUAGUAAACAUGUGAACUAAUGCAUGUAAUUUUUAAGUAGAUAUCUAAAGUUUAAAAUAUUUACUUUGCCACCUAAAUUUUCAUCACUUUCUAAUGUCCUAAUUAAUAAAAAGCACAAAAAAAAAAUACUAUUAAAUUCUACCGAAAAGUAUUUAGAUCAAAUUUAAAUACACGAUUAGAGUAAAUUAUAAUAUUAAAGUUUUAAAAGUUCACUCUCUUUUAUUAUAUAUAAAAAUAUUAAUUUUGUGAAAAUAUUAUUUAUUAACGAGAGCUACUAUUUUUGACUUUACCUAAUAGAAUUAAUAAGUUUGUUGUGAAAUAUAGGAAUAUAAACGAAUUACCAUAUAAAAAUUAGGUAUCAAUAAGUUUGUUAUGAAAUGAGAAUAAAAAAAUAGAUAUAAUUAAAAAAAUAAAAUAAUAGUAAUAAAUUUGUUGCGAAUUUUAAAAAUUUUUAGAGUGAAUAUAAAAAUAUAGAUAAACUAACGUUUAUAUCCCUGUAUUUCGCAACAAACUUAUUAAUUCCAUUAUAGGUAAAGUCAAAAAUAGUAACACUCAUUAAUAAAUAAUAUUUUAGCAAAAUUAAUAUUAUAUAUAAAUUUCUAACCUUUAUUUUUUUGAAAAAUUAAACAAUCCUAAAGGUUGCUUUCUGCUGGCAGGAGAACAAACAGCCCAACCGAUGUUCACUGUAUGACAAAGGUCCAAUUAAUGCCUCGAACUGAUCUGAGAUGCCAUUAGAGGCUAUCAAGGUCCCGGUCUGUGGCCCAAGAUUGAAAUGAACGUUACAUAGUGUAACACUGAGUCUUACAUUAUAAAUAAAGGUAAAAUUAUAUAUAACUUUACUAAAUUAUAGACCACUUGAGUUUGACUAUGAUUUGACUGAAUUAAUAGCUCUUUGAUUCUAAAAUUGAAACAAAAUUAUUUAGUUUAAUAAAUUUAUUGUUGUGAGAAAUGUAUAAAAUAUUAACUAAUAUUGUAAAGAUAAACAAAGCAUUCAAAUUUUAAUGAUUAAAUAUUGUCAGCUGACUAAAAUCAAAUAGAUUGAAAGACUAGACAGUAAAAUCAAAAUAUUGAAAUAUUUGAUAGUUAAAUUCAAAUUAAUAGUUUAAAUAAAUUUUAUACGUUUUUACCAUAAAUAAAUAUACAUUUGUAAAUGGUGGGAUGGAAAAUUAAAAUAAAAUUUAUGCUUCGUGUCCUCUCCAAAAGUUGGAUUGGAGAUCAAUGAAUUUUCUUUUAGUAUAAAAAUAAAACACUCCAACCUUAAACCCUCGAUUUUAAAUUUUAACUACUAAAAAAAAUCUUCUAACAUUUUUUAAUUAUUAUAAAAUAAAAGAAAGCCUAAGGGUUUACUAAAAAUGAAAAAUGUUUGGCUAUUGAACAAUAUAUUUCUGAAAAGUAUUCAUCUAGUAUAUUUAUUUAUUUAUCUUUUCCGACUUCAAUCUUUUACACCUUAAAGCCUGUAGCGAUGAAUCAAAAUUAUCUUAUGCGAGUAACAUUCAUGUGCGGAAAUUCAGAGAAGCUUUUUUUUUUUUUGAGAGAGAGAGAUAGGUAGCACGCUACCCGUUUCAUUUGUUUCGUUUAAAAAUAAAUUUAGCUGGAAAUAUGAAUUAAUUAAAAAAUUAUGAGAAGUUGAUAGACUAUUUGACUAGUCUUUUUGUUAAUUAGUUAUCUGUUUUUAAGGAAAAAAACAAAGGGCCUGCUCAAAGAACUCUUGCGGGUGCUCACUAUCUUUUAUUGAGCCUUCGUACUGAUAAUAUUGGGCGGUUAACAUUGGACCAAAGCUCCAUUUCAAUGGUCCAGCCAUCUAUUCACGUUGGUGCUCAGUUCCGUCUUCACACUAACGUUGGGCUAAGUGAAGCAAACAAUAAUUAAUAUGAAGCCCGGAAAGGGCCCAGCCAUCAAAUGGGAAACUAGAUCACGUCGCAGUUGCUCUAUUUGUGAUAUUGGGCUUAUACAUGGAUUUUUGGUGAGAACCAGCCUAAAGAAUCAUAAAUUCAUUCUAAUGCCAGAGUCUACAGAGUAAAUUAAAUAUUUAUGGCUGACGUAGGGUCAUUGGGCUGACAAAGGACUUAGCCUAGGUCCUUCUUCUAUUGUUUGUGCUGAUAAAUUUUUACCUAAAACUUUUUAUAUUAAUAUAACAAGUAGGAGCUAUUAGAAGCAGGGAGGCCUCCGUGCUCCUAAACUGUUUUCGAUAAUGAACAGUCGAAUCGAUGAUCGACUUCAUUAAACUUGAUCUAACGUAUUUGAAGUAUUUAAUUAGAAAAUAAAUUUUGUGAUUUUUUGGUAUUAUUUAUCUAGUGAUUAAAAUGACUCAAAAUUAACGGUUAAAAAUAAAAAAAAAAAUCACAAAAAAUUAUGAUAUAGCACUAAAAUUUUUUAUUAAAGAUAUAAAUCUUGCUGUAGAUAGUAUAAUAUAUCAAUCAUUAAAAAUUAUUGAUUUUGAACUCUUUCGAUCUUUAGGUUUCUAUUAAAAUAUAACUAGAAUAUAUUUGUUGUUGCAACUAGUCCAAAACAUGAUAACCUAUAUUAAUGGCCGAACCCACUAGUCACAGGCAGGAGAGAAGGAUUAAUGAGGUAGGGUUUCCGACUGCCGAGCUCCCCAUGCCAUUGCAUUCUUUUUAGGCCAUUUUCAAUUACGAAUCGGGCCAAGCUAUCAACAUUUUCCAGUUCAAUAGCCGGACCGACUUAUCAUGGAGAAGCAUUUAAGAUAUGCAUUUAUGAAUAAGGGCGAGUCUUUGGGUAGAGAUAGGGCCUUUGGACUGCGAAAGGGCUUCGUCCACUCCACUCUAAUAUAAUAUGUUAUGGGUAAUGUGCAAUGUAAUAUUUCUACUAAAUGCCCAAAGGCCAGGAAUCCCAGUUCAGCUAUAAAGCUCAAUCGCAGAAUGGGAUUUGAUAUUGGUCAUCAAUUGAUUUUAUUUAAAUUGAAUAUGGCUAAAUCUAUCACUGCUGUAACAAUUAUGGCCGGUGCUCAAUAUUUUGCAUCAAACCUUUAUACUAAUGUUGGGCCAUAUACAACAAUUAUAUAGUAUUCUUGUUUGUGCUAACUAUUUUGUAUCCAAUCUUGGUACUUANCAAACCCUAUACCCUAAACCCUAUACCCUAAACCCUAAAACCCUAAAACCCGAAACCCGAAACCCGAAACCCGAAACCCGAAACCCGAAACCCUAAACCCUAAACCCUAAACCCUAAACCGUAAACCCUAGAACCCUAAAACCCUAAACCCUAAAACCCUAGUCCUAAACAUGAUAACCUAUAUUAAU
rnacentral:lncRNA from 1 species